rnacentral:rRNA from 1 species
AUUGAACGCUGGCGGCAGGCCUAACACAUGCAAGUCGAACGAGUGGCGGACGGGUGAGUAAUGUCUGGGAAACUGCCUGAUGGAGGGGGAUAACUAAUGGAAACGGUAGCUAAUACCGCAUACCAUAAGAUGUGACCAGAUGGGAUUAGCGUGUUGGUGGGGUAACGGCUCACAAAGGCGACGAUCCCUAGUUGUGCUGAGAGGGUGAACAGCCACACUGGAACUGAGACACGGUCCAGCCUCCUACGGUAGGCAGCAGUGGGGAAUAUUGCAGCAUGGGCGCAAGCCUGAUGCAGCCAUGCCGCGUGUUUGAAGAAGUCCUUCGUGUUGUAAAGUACUUUCAGCGGGGAGGCGUUACCCGCAGAAGAAGCACCGGCUAACUCCGUGCCAGCCGCCGCGGUAAUAC